rnacentral:rRNA from 1 species
AGCGUAUAUUAAAGUUGUUGCAGUUAAAAAGCUCGUAGUUGAAUUUCGGGGUUAGUAGGUUGGUCAUGCCUCUGGUAUGUACUGGUCUCACUGAUUCCUCCUUCCUGAUGAAUCUUAAUGCCAUUAAUUUGGUGUUUUGGGGAAUUUGGACUGUUACUUUGAAAAAAUUAGAGUGUUUAAAGCAAGCUAACACUUGAAUACAUUAGCAUGGAAUAAUGAAAUAGGACGUUCGAUCCUAUUUUGUUGGUUUCUAGGGUUGACGUAAUGAUUAAUAGGGAUAGUUGGGGGCAUUAGUAUUCAAUUGUCUGAGGUGAAAUUCUUGGAUUUAUUGAAGACUAACUACUGCGAAAGCAUUUGCCAAGGAUGUUUUCAUUAAUCAAGAACGAAAGUUAGGGGAUCGAAGACGAUCAGAUACCGUCGUAGUCUUAACCAUAAAC